AGUUCCGUAUCUUAAAAUGGUUGCUCAACCAUCCAUUCCAUAUCUGACGUGUCAUUCACCAUUAAUCUUUGCCUGCAUCCUCCACAUUUUUCUUGCGAGCCUCAACAGCAGCAUCUGCCUCCGGUGACUGGAGUUUCAGUUUUUCAAAAUCCUUCACGAAAUAAAAUGGAUAACACUUCAAAUAGCGUUUUGUCAACCUUAUUUCUCACCCUGCAGUCCUUAUAUAAAGGAUGCACUUCCAUAUGUGUAAGGUACAAGCUAAUUAAAAGAUGGCAUCAUAAUUUAAAUGCUUGUUUAUAUAUUAUAAUAAUAUCUGCUUACUGGGUUAGGAUUUCCCUAUCGAGAAAGAUAACCGACAGUAUUUGCUCUAUAGCUACUUGAUUCUUUAGUCCAUCAAACCAUGUAGAACAGUGCAAGGACUGAGUAACGUUAACAGCUUUUCCCUCAAAACUUAUGUUGUUCACAAUAUAAUUGAAAAAUACAUUGGUGGAUUCCUAGCAGAAGCAAAGAAAAAAAAUUCACCAGGAAAAUUUUUCUCAUCUUACUUGAGCCUUGGAGGCAAGAGUUACUUGGUACAUGUGUUGGUGGAAUAAUAUAGGUGUGUACAAGCUGGCCAGACACCAUCUCAUUAAAAAGAAAAACACUGUGAAGGUACCAGACAAUGGUAACAUAAUAUACUAACCAGUUCAGAUACAUAUCCACUGGUCCUUUCACCUUGAGGCCCAUAAUUUUGAGCUUCACUUUAGCUCACUCUUUUGAUCCUUUGGUUUUUCAUUUGUAUCUGGAUGCUCUGCAAAUUUGAUUACUAUGACAUUGACUAAAGAAAAUCUGAACAAAAUACUUGCAUGACACAAUUACUCCGGUACAAAUAGACAAUUACAACUUGAAAGAGAGGGACAUAAACUAAGAGUGAAGAACAUUACCAGCAGCUAUCACCAGUGAGGACUCAUGAAGCAGUUCUUGGUCCAGUUGUUUGGACCUAAUGCA
rnacentral:lncRNA from 1 species